rnacentral:rRNA from 1 species
UACGUAGGGUCCGAGCGUUGUCCGGAAUUAUUGGGCGUAAAGGGCUCGUAGGCGGUUCGUCACGUCGGGAGUGGAAACUCGGGGCUUAACCCCGAGCCUGCUUCCGAUACGGGCAGACUAGAGGUAGGCAGGGGAGAGCGGAACUCCUGGUGUAGCGGUGAAAUGCGCAGAUAUCAGGAAGAACACCCGUGGCGAAGGCGGCUCUCUGGGACGGUACUGACGCUGAGACGCGAAAGCGUGGGGAGCGAACAGG